CAACAUGAAGGGUCACGUCCUUGCGAUUUUGCUAACCGCUCUCCUCGGAAAAUCUGUCGCUCAAACGUUGACUCAGUCUCCAAUAUCAAUGACCAGAGCUCCGGGGAAGACUGUACGGUUUGAAUGUAGAUUUGAAGGGAGCGAUUUCGACAAUGCGGUUAUCCACUGGUACCGGCACAUCCCGGGUCAAAGUCCACAGCGCGUUUUAUAUUUCAAGAAUCCGUCUGAAACUCAGCAAGACAUCACCGACAAAAUACUAGUUGCCGAAAAAAAUUCUGAGUCGAAAACCUGCAGCUUGCUCAUGAGGAAUGUCAAGGAGGAUGACUCUGGGGUUUAUUACUGCGCUUACUGGGCUCACAGUGACAGAAAGUCGGCGGAACCCGCGCAAAAAGCGAUCGCUUUCCUGCUGAUUGUUUGCAAACUGUUAUCACACAAACGACAGCUUUACCUACCAGCAAAAUGGGAGAAAAUAUUAGACGAAACGAACAAACCUUAGAGUAAGAAGGCAAGUGUUUUACCCAAGAUUUGAAGCAGAAUCAACUUUCGUUGACAGGCGAAUGGGGAGUCAUGUUGUAAUUACCUGUGAGCUGAGUAAAUCAGUCGGUUCUUCCCCCAUCCACUGGUACAAGCAGGCAACAGGACAACGACCUGCCUGGUUGUUCCUUAACAAAGGGGAGGAUAAUGUAUUAAAUGGAAGAUUUAAAGCAUUGAAAUCUGGGCUCAGGCAACAUUAUCUGCGUAUUGAAAAAAUAAAGACGGAUGAUGCCGCCACCUAUUAUUGUGCCUACUGGGGUCACAGCGUGAAACAGUAAUUCAAUCCUCUUACAGAAACCCUCAAUCUUGCAUUUCAAACAUCAUGUCAAAACCACAGUCAUGAUUGAAAACAACCAUGACGUUCCUUCAACUAAAACGUAGACUCUCGAACAUUACAAGACACAAGUACGAAGUAAAUCGCUACUCUCGCCUCUCUUUGAAAGUA